AACCUUAAAUAAGGCCCGAACGCUCCCUCAUGCCCGGGAGGGGUCUCAAGGAAUUUCUUUGGGAACCAACUCCGGGACACGGGCCCAAGAUCAGAACUGACAGACCUCAACACUCUGCCAUUGACACUGUGUAGAAACAGGAGUCCCCCAGAUGACCUGAUCCUGACUGGCCAUCAAGAACAUUUCAUCUCUCUUAUUGGGAGUGAUGAGCACUGAAACUCCAGUUGCUUCAGCUUUUCGACAGAGAUCUACAGUUCUCUUUAGAUCAUCAUGGAUUCUAAAAUUCCAAGGAAUGUAAUAAUUAUCCUCAUCAUCAAACAAUUAUCUCAACUGCAUGAAAUCCCAGCAUAAAGCAAAGUAAACAAGAAUUGAAGAAAGAACAUUAUUGUUGGAAGAUGAACAGAGCUUUUAUCAUAUAACACAUUAUUUUAAUAAAUUAAUAUCCCUUGAUUUAGUAUUGCCGUUAAUCAUGUCACUCAAAUUGAAAGGGUGUCCAAACUAUAUAACAAUUGCCAGAAACCCAUGAGGCUCUUAAAAAUAUAUAAUUUUGCGUAAUUUUGUACCAAAAAUGUAGUAGCUCACAUUAAUAUAGCACCUUUUUUUCUGAAAAAUCUCAAUCAACUUUAAAUCUUUAUUAACAGAAACUGCUGAUAUUCCUGUGUAGGUUUUGUAUGACUUCCUCCACCACUGAAAUGCAACAUGGCGACACAUCACAAUAUUUUAGAAGUCAAUGAAGUGAAGGAUAUCUUUUUCCAUCUGAAACUGGAGUGGCAAUUUAGGUAGGCAGAAUGACUCAAGUUGAAAUUUGAUAAGGAAUGUAAUCAAAUCUUUAAGCAAUAACAAUUUGUCAGGAUCUAUUUUUAAUGCCCCAUCUAACAGACAGCUUCUCCAGCUGGACUAUGCCAUUAAUACCAUACUAGAUCUAGUUCUAAACAGGUAGAAGGAAGAAUAUCACUAACUUACCAGCAUCAUUUCCUGUUCCCCCUAUGUUUCUUUGAGAACUCCCAUUCAAGUGGUAACUUGACCCAAGCUUGCUUAGCUUGGUUCAAAGCACUAGGUGAUAUGGUUAUAUAAACAAUACAAAACUAUUCAACUAGCUUGUGAUCAUUUUACCUUUCCUGAAUUCUGAGUUUUUAAAAAAUGUAUGACUUUUAUGUUGCUUUGGAUAUUAGUGUGUUCUUGUAAACCAAAGCACACUUGAGGACAUGUAGCACCAGAGAAACACUGACUGUAAUUUUGUAGGAUUACAUGUCUCCAAAUGUACUUUGGAUGAGAAAGAAAACAGAUCCUGACCAGCUGGGGUUGUUAAAGAUCUCAGGGUUGACCUACCCAAAAGCUGAAUGCAAAUCUCCACAGACCAUGCUUAUGGCACUUUUUCUGUAAAGGUAAUAUUAACCUAAAACAUUGCCUGUUUUGCCUGAUUAAAUAAUAAACAUGCUUUAUUGUCUUGAGACAUAGUAGUGGUCUAAACUUACCUUAUCU